rnacentral:tRNA from 1 species
ACCGGCGUAGCUCAAUUGGUAGAGCAGCGGAUUCCAAAUCCGAAGGUUGCGGGUUCAACCCCUGUCGCCGGUG